CAUACAGGGGGAGUAACAGUUAGAAAUGACUGCUAAUACCGCAUAAGCGCACAGUGCUGCAUGGCACAGUGUGAAAAACUCCGGUGGUAUGAGAUGGACCCGCGUCUGAUUAGCUAGUUGGUGGGGUAACGGCCUACCAAGGCGACGAUCAGUAGCCGGCCUGAGAGGGUGAACGGCCACAUUGGGACUGAGACACGGCCCAAACUCCUACGGGAGGCAGCAUG
rnacentral:rRNA from 1 species